UACGGGGGGGGCAAGCGUUGUUCGGAAUUACUGGGCGUAAAGGGCUCGUAGGCGGCCAACUAAGUCGGACGUGAAAUCCCUCGGCUUAACCGGGGAACUGCGUCCGAUACUGGAUGGCUUGAGUUCGGGAGAGGGAUGCGGAAUUCCAGGUGUAGCGGUGAAAUGCGUAGAUAUCUGGAGGAACACCGGUGGCGAAGGCGGCAUCCUGGACCGACACUGACGCUGAGGAGCGAAAGCAUGGGGAGCGAACAGG
rnacentral:rRNA from 1 species